UAACCCUAACGCUCUACAUAGUGUAUAGAGGGUUAAAGUUAGGGUUAACCCUAACGCUCUACAUAGUGUAUAGAGGGUUAAAGUUAGGGUUAACCCUAACACUCUACAUAGUGUGUAGAGGGUUAAAGUUAGGGUUAACCCUAACGCUCUACAUAGGUGUAUAGAGGGUUAAAGUUAGGGUUAACCCUAACGCUCUACAUAGGUGUAUAGAGGGUUAAAGUUAGGGUUAACCCUAACGCUCUACAUAGUGUAUAGAGGGUUAAAGUUAGGGUUAACCCUAGGGCUGCAACUAACGAUUAUUUUGAUAAUCGAUUAAUCUGUUGAUUAUUUUUUCUAUUAAUCGAUUAAUCAGAUUUUUAAAAAAAAUGUAAUUUUCAACCCUUUAUUCAAAACAGGGUUCGUACGGUCAUGGAAAACCUGGAAAAGUCAUGGAGUUUUUAAAUGGCUAUUUCUAGGCCUAGAAAAGUAAUUAAUUAGUAAUUUUUGGAAAAGUAAUGCAAAUUUGUUAUAUUCAAAUAUUAAUUUAAACGGAAUAUAUACGGUAUGCUCAUUGUUAGUUUAAAUACUACAUCUUCUCACUUGUUCAUGUAUACACAGAGUUUUCACAAAAUGUUUAAUCUUGGAAAUUUGGUUUAAAUUCCUGGAAAGGUCCUGGAGAUCCACUGGUCAGCAGUAUGAACCUGUUCACUGGUCAUGUGGAUGAACCUGUUCACUGGUCAGCAUGUAGAUGAACCCUGUCAUAAACAGACUGACAGCGGUUUACUCUCCUGAGUUGGCUAUUUAUGGGUUAAACGCCUCAUACGGUGAGGGGGCGGGGCUUAUCUCGUUGCCUUUCUCCGUGGAAAAAUAUUGUCCGCCAUCCGCCACGGAAAAAUAAUCACUUUUCUACGUUAUAUUGCUUGUGGAAAUGCCACACAUGUGGUAACAUCUAGCGCCCUGGUGUCUGGGUUCAUAACGUCACCCGUAGGCGCACUCAGCUCCGUGAAUGUCUCCGACGACGUGAAUGACUUCCGCUUCCAGCGUCACGAGGGCAGCUGCAGCCAAUUAGAUUCACUAACGGAGGAGCAGCUCAGCGCUGAUUGGCUCUCACAACGCAGCAUUAUGGUCUGUCCUCUCCCUCCGCUCUUGUUUCUCCUGCUCCGCUCUGCGCUCAAAUCAACUUUUUUUAUACUCCGCGACUUAUUGAGUGCCGUAAUAAUCGCGCGACACAACAAAUCGAUAAUGAAAUUCGUUGCCAACUAUUUUAAUAAUCGAUUUUAAUCGAUUUUAUCGAUUCGUUGUUGCAGCUCUAGUUAACCCUAACGCUCUACAGAGGUGUAUAGAGGCCCAUCACCAGUGUUCUGAUGGUACUUUGUGUUAUCGCCUUAGAAGACUAGCGGAGGGGUAAAAACCCUGUAAACCCUUUUUAUGUGAGCGCAGCUGAAAACAGUUAUGCUGGUGAGAGAAGCUAUAAAACUGGCCUUCUUUUGAGCCACAGGAAGAACAGGGGACCCCCACAGUCUGUAGGUCCAGCCUCAGGGGCCCCAGUCUGUAGGUCCAGCUGCAAGGGCCUCAGGGCCCCACAGUCUGUAGGUCCAGCCUCAGGGCCCUAAAGUCUGUAGGUUCAGCCUCAGGGGCCCCACAGUCUGUAGGUCCAGCCUCAGGGCCCUAAAGUCUGUAGGUCCAGCCUCAGGGGCCCACAGUCUGUAGGUCCAGCCUCAGGGGCCCCACAGUCUGUAGGUCCAGCCUCAGGGCCCCACAGUCUGUAGGUCCAGCCUCAGGGCCCUAAAGUCUGUAAGUCCAGCCUCAGGGGCCCACAGUCUGUAGGUCCAGCCUCAGGGCCCUAAAGUCUGUAGGUCCAGCCUCAGGGGCCCUCCAGUCCCUCCAGCUCAUGAUAGCAGAUCAGAGGGUGGGGCCCAGCAGCGUGUUCCUUCAUGGAGGUUAAAGUCCACAUGACACUCACAGGAGGUGACGUCACUCAGGGUGGGGCUGGUGGCCCAACAGCAGGGACACCACCCAACAGCAGGGACACCGCCCAACAGCAGGGACACCACCCACCCACAGGGACACCGCCCAACAGCAGGGACACUGCCCACCCACAGGGACACCGCCCACCCACAGGGACACCGCCCACCCACAGGGACACCGCCCACCCACAGGGACACCGCCCAACCACAGGGACACCACCCAACAGCAGGGCCGGAGAGGUAACUGGAGACCACGCCCCCCAUGGCGCCGACACCCGGACCCGGACCGGGCCGCUGGACUUCAACUCGUCUUUUAACCGAACCCAGAGGAAUAAGCCCGGAGUCCCGGAGACGUGAGGAGAAGGAGAAUAAACUGAAGAACAAGAGGAAGAAGAGGAAGAAGAAAGAGAAGGAAGAGGAGAAGGAGGAGAAGCUGACGUCCGGAGGAGAGACUCGAACUGUUCUCGGAAGUUUAGGAAGUCAAAACGUGACCGGGGCAGAAACGGACGGAGACACGCCCCUUUUAAUGAGAGGACCUUCCAGCUGUGGUGCGUUCAGGGCACGUGGGAAGAAUGAGUGACACCAGAGGAGAACAAGAUACACGAGCAGAGGUGAAGAUCCUGUUUGGACCCAGCAGCAGCUGUUCUGUUCUUUAUACCUUUAGUGUCCACCAGCUGUUCACACCGGAACCGGAACAUUUAUUUUCUCUUUACUUAAAAACAUAAAUAACAAACCAGCUGGACACAGAAUGUAAACAGACACACGUGUGGUGCACAGACACGCGCGUGAGACACACGCUGAGCAUGUGGAACAACCACACGACGCCACUCGGAGGAUCCAGACCUGCGCAUGCGCACUCCAGCAGCGACCACACGAGGAGUUCCAUGGAUCCACAGACUGCUGCUCACGGCUCUGUGACGUCAUGGGAGCCUCCUGGUGGCUCCACGCUGCCCGGGGGGCCUCGUGGUUAUUUAUAUGAAUAUUAAAUCCUUUCAUGUGACCGUGAA